ACUUUAAUAAUUUAAUUAAAAUAAUGGUCUUGUAAGCCAUCUAUAAGUUUAUACUUUUAAAGUA
rnacentral:tRNA from 1 species